UACAGAGGUCCCAAGCGUUGUUCGGAUUCACUGGGCGUAAAGGGCGUGUAGGUGGCUUUUCAAGUCCGGUGUGAAAUCCCACGGCUCAACCGUGGAACUGCAUUGGAAACUGGAUGGCUCGAGGGUUGGAGGGGGUCGCGGAAUUCCCGGUGUAGAGGUGAAAUUCGUAGAUAUCGGGAGGAACACCAGUGGCGAAGGCGGCGACCUGGCCAAUCACUGACACUGAGACGCGAAAGCGUGGGGAGCAAACAGG
rnacentral:rRNA from 1 species